UCCGUAGGCGGACUAAUAAGUCAGGGGUGAAAUCCAACAGCUCAACUGUUGAACUGCCCUUGAUACUGUUAGUCUUGAAUUAUAUGGAAGUAGAUAGAAUGUGUAGUGUAGCGGUGAAAUGCUUAGAGAUUACACAGAAUACCGAUUGCGAAGGCAGUCUACUACGUAUAUAUUGACGCUAAUGGACGAAAGCGUGGGGAGCGAACAGGAUUAGAUACCCUGGUAGUCC
rnacentral:rRNA from 1 species